rnacentral:tRNA from 1 species
GAGGGGGUAGCUCAGUGGUAGAGCACGUGCUUCACACGCACGAGGUCCUGGGUGCAACCCCUAGUCCCUCCA